AGGAGAGAGAGGAGCCAAGGAGGAACAAAGUGGAGAGGAGAGACAGAAACGAGAGAGAGAGAGAAGCCCAGGAGGAACAACGUGGGGACGAGAAAGAGAGGAGAGGGGUCAACAGGAGCACAGCAAGGACGUGGGGGGGGGAGCUGUAGCGCGCUACAAAUUCCCGAGUUCGAUUGUCGCUCGCGGAAACGCCCAAGACCGGUGACGAUUAUUAUCAGAACCCCUGUCCGGGUACCCCUCCCCUAGGUCGACUCAGCCUCAAAUGAGUACCUAGGUGCAGCGGUGUGUUUAAUAUAAUCAGCACUGGAGAGACAAAGGCGGUCGCUCGUGUGCCACAGUGCUGCUGCUUGCUCACAGCACUUGUCCCAAAAGUGCGUUGAGGCUACACGGGAGACAUUCCGUGUAUAAAAGAGCUUCAUAGCUCAUCGGAUUCCUCCAGCCUCGAAUAAAGAAUUCCGAAUGUUGAACCCCACGCGGCGCCAGUGACGUCAUCGCGCGCACGCGGUGUCGUCAUCACGCACGCGGGGAUGUCAUUACGUACUUCUAGAUUUGAAGCUUUCGUGACUGCAAGGAUUCAUACUCUUUGGUUUUAUUCGGUAAAGUCACGUA